CAAUCCUGGUGGCGAGUGGCGAACGGGUGAGUAAUAUAUCGGAACGUGCCCAGCCGUGGGGGAUAACGCAGCGAAAGCUGUGCUAAUACCGCAUACGAUCUAAGGAUGAAAGCGGGGGACUCAGCAAUGGGCCUCGCGCGAUUGGAGCGGCCGAUAUCAGAUUAGCUAGUUGGUGGGGUAAAAGCCCACCAAGGCGACGAUCUGUAGCUGGUCUGAGAGGACGACCAGCCACACUGGAACUGAGACACGGUCCAGACUCCUACGGGAGGCAGCAGUGGGGAAUUUUGGACAAUGGGCGAAAGCCUGAUCCAGCAAUGCCGCGUGCAGGAUGAAGGCCUUCGGGUUGUAAACUGCUUUUGUACGGAACGAAACGGUUCUCCUUAAUACGGAGGGCUAAUGACGGUACCGUAAGAAUAAGCACCGGCUAACUACGUGCCAGCAGCCGCGGUAAUACGUAGGGUGCGAGCGUUAAUCGGAAUUACUGGGCGUAAAGCGUGCGCAGGCGGUUAUAUAAGACAGAUGUGAAAUCCCCGGGCUCAACCUGGGACCUGCAUUUGUGACUGUAUGGCUAGAGUGUGUCAGAGGGGGGUAGAAUUCCACGUGUAGCAGUGAAAUGCGUAGAUAUGUGGAGGAAUACCGAUGGCGAAGGCAGCCCCCUGGGAUAACACUGACGCUCAUGCACGAAAGCGUGGGGAGCAAACAGGAUUAGAUACCCUGGUAGUCCACGCCCUAAACGAUGUCUACUAGUUGUUGGGUCUUAAUUGACUUAGUAACGCAGCUAACGCGUGAAGUAGACCGCCUGGGGAGUACGGUCGCAAGAUAAAACUCAAAGGAAUUGACGGGGACCGCACAGCGGUGGAGGA
rnacentral:rRNA from 1 species